CUACGGGCUGCACCAGUGGGGAAUAUUGCACAAUGGGCGCAAGCCUGAUGCAGCCAUGCCGCGUGUAUGAAGAAGGCCUUCGGGUUGUAAAGUACUUUCAGCGGGGAGGAAGGGAGUAAAGUUAAUACCUUUGCUCAUUGACGUUACCCGCAGAAGAAGCACCGGCUAACUCCGUGCCAGCAGCCGCGGUAAUACGGAGGGUGCAAGCGUUAAUCGGAAUUACUGGGCGUAAAGCGCACGCAGGCGGUUUGUUAAGUCAGAUGUGAAAUCCCCGGGCUCAACCUGGGAACUGCAUCUGAUACUGGCAAGCUAGAGGCUCGUAGAGGGGGGUAGAAUUCCAGGUGUAGCGGUGAAAUGCGUAGAGAUCUGGAGGAAUACCGGUGGCGAAGGCGGCCCCCUGGACGAAGACUGACGCUCAGGUGCGAAAGCGUGGGGAGCAAACAGGGUUAGAUACCCGAGUAGUC
rnacentral:rRNA from 1 species